rnacentral:rRNA from 1 species
UAGGGAAUCUUCCUGCAAUGGGCGAAAGCCUGACGGAGCAACGCCGCGUGAGUGAUGAAGGUCUUCGGAUCGUAAAACUCUGUUAUUAGGGAAGAACAUAUGUGUAAGUAACUGUGCACAUCUUGACGGUACCUAAUCAGAAAGCCACGGCUAACUACGUGCCAGCAGCCGCGGUAAUACGUAGGUGGCAAGCGUUAUCCGGAAUUAUUGGGCGUAAAGCGCGCGUAGGCGGUUUUUUAAGUCUGAUGUGAAAGCCCACGGCUCAACCGUGGAGGGUCAUUGGAAACUGGAAAACUUGAGUGCAGAAGAGGAAAGUGGAAUUCCAUGUGUAGCGGUGAAAUGCGCAGAGAUAUGGAGGAACACCAGUGGCGAAGGCGACUUUCUGGUCUGUAACUGACGCUGAUGUGCGAAAGCGUGGGGAUCAAACAGGAUUAGAUACCCUGGUAGUCCACGCCGUAAACGAUGAGUGCCAAGUGUUAGGGGGUUUCCGCCCCUUAGUGCUGCAGCUAACGCAUUAAGCACUCCGCCUGGGGAGUACGACCGCAAGGUUG